ACGAUUGGUCACACUGUUUGACGCCUCCCUGUUAAACUCUUGAGAGCCGCUUCUGCGGCUCUUUUUUUUUGGAAAA
rnacentral:sRNA from 1 species